ensembl:lncRNA
GCCGGAUUGGGCAGAUAGACAUUCAGCUGAGUGGUUCGGUGCAGAUAACAAUGAAUGCAAAUACACAGCGAGAGUGACAGAUUAACCUUGGGCAAGGUUGAGCAUAGCGGUGCUGGAAACACAGUGUAUCCUGUUGGAUGCCUGCAGUGAGAAUACACACACACACACACACACACACACAGAGAGAGAGAGAGAGAGAGAGAGAGAGAGAGAGAGGGAAUCAUAUGCUCUAUUUUUAAAAAUUCAUUUGAAACCACAAAUUGUGUUUCAGUCGAAAAGAUGGACACUCAGACAUUUGCAUUAGGCUUGCCAUGACCUCUGACCCAGAGCAACACUUUACAAGUUGCUUUGCUUUGGUUUUUAGACGGGCAUGCGAUCUGAACUCCACGCACUGUCUGCCAGAAAAUGUCUGAGAAUCCCCAAUCUCCCAGAUAAACUUGAUCACCUAGAAGAACUUUGGAAAGAGAUACACAAUAUAGAAAUAAUAUGUGCUGGCUAUUAUUAUAAUAGAAUGUGAGCCAGUGUCCCUCGGGUGAUAGAUCCUCGGGUGAUAGAUCCUCGGGUGGUAGAUCCUCGGGUGGUAGAUCCUCGGGUGGUAGAUCCUCGGGUGGUAGAUCCUGGGGUGGUAGAUCCUUGGGUGGUAGAUCCUCGGGUGGUAGAUCCUCGGGUGGUAGAUCCUCGGGUGAUAGAUCCUCGGGUGGUAGAUCCUCGGGUGGUAGAUCCUCGGGUGGUAGAUCCUCAGGAGGUAGAUCCUUGGGUGGUUGAUCCUCGGGUGAUAGAUACCGGCCAGGACGGCAGUUUCGAUUUCCCCGGUGGUCCUGUACAAAACAAUGCAAUAAACAGGUGGGCAGGUUCUGGAUGAGAGCGUCUGCAGAGGGGUGUGUCUCUUAUGCCUCCAUCCAAUCACUAACGCCUCUGCCUCGUGACCCACUGCCCCCACAUACUUAGCAAUGCACAUUAGUAUGUUUAGAUGUGAAACGUACUGCUAGAAGUAACAUUUGUUCCAACGCUGGGCUGUUUUUCUAUAAGGCACUAAUGGCCUU